UUGAACUGAAGAGUUUGAUCCUGGCUCAGAUUGAACGCUGGCGGCAUGCCUUACACAUGCAAGUCGAACGGCAGCACGGGUGCUUGCACCUGGUGGCGAGUGGCGAACGGGUGAGUAAUACAUCGGAACAUGUCCUGUAGUGGGGGAUAGCCCGGCGAAAGCCGGAUUAAUACCGCAUACGAUCCACGGAUGA
rnacentral:rRNA from 1 species